GACGAACGUUGGCGGCGUGCUUAAUACAUGCAAGUCAACUGAAGCAGUGGUAGCAAUAUCGCUGUGGAGGUGGCGCACGGGUGAGUAACACGUAGGUAAUCUGCCUUCAGGUCUGGCAUAACUCCGGGAAACCGGGGCUAAUAGCAGAUGAUGCAGCGGCUCGACAUCGAGACAGUUGUUAAAGCUAUGGCGCCUGAAGAUGAGCCUGCGUCUGAUUAGCUAGUUGGCGGGGUAACGGCCCACCAAGGCAACGAUCAGUAGCUGGACUGAGAGGAUGAUCAGCCACACUGGAACUGAGACACGAUCCAGACUCCUACGGGAGGCAGCAGUAAGGAAUAUUGCUCAAUGGGAGAAAUCCUGAAGCAGCAACGCCGCGUGAGGGACGAAGGGCUUUUGCUUGUAAACCUCUGUAGUGAGAGAAAAAAAUCCCAAUCUUUGGGACAUGAUGGUAUCUCAAAAGUAAGCCCCGGCUAACUACGUG
rnacentral:rRNA from 1 species